CGCGCCCUUUUCACUACCCCGUCUGCUUGCGCACUCUGUAUAGCCGCGCCGCGCGCUCACUAAUGCGUCAUAUCGCCAUCGAAGCUAACGCGCUUUCUGCCGCUCUAUAACUAUAGUUCGCGCGCGCCAUGUGAACUUAUGUGUUGACUUAUGUAGAGACAUGAGACGCGUCGGCGUGGUCGGGAAGCUUGAUUUCGACUUCAUAAUGACUUUUGCCGUUAUGGACAGUGACUUUGGUGCCUGUGAGCUGAGAGACAAUAUAGUGGUACACGCGGUGGGCGCACGUGCUCUCCUCUGCUUCCUAAAACUGAGUACUGACUGAACAAAAAAUGUGAGGAAAGAACAUGACAUGCUUCUCAGCACUGGCGACAUCUUAAGACGUCUUGGAUUAUUCCGGUACAAAGACGAGCAACCAUCAUGACAGACGACGGGUGACGUACAAUCGUCAUUUUCGAUUUUAUAUCGAGAGAAACGGCAGCAUCGAGUCGAAGGAGUGAUGGCGUGAAGCGGGGAUCAAAGGAAACAAAAUGGCGACCUAACCUUAAAUAUUAAAAGCCUUCCCUGGAGGCGCAGCUGACAUCAGGAUGCUGAGCAGCAGUGCUGAUGGUGGUUUUCUCCAGGUGGUGAAUCUUCAGCUUCGUUUGCUUCUCAAUCGAAUGAAAAAUUAUGUAAUUUCAUAAGUAAUUUAAUUUGUUUUACAUUGUUGAAGUUUUAUGAAAUAAAUAUAUUGGUUUUA